rnacentral:rRNA from 1 species
GACGAACGCUGGCGGCGUGCUUAACACAUGCAAGUCGAACGGUAAGGCCCUUCGGGGUACACGAGUGGCGAACGGGUGAGUAACACGUGGGUGAUCUGCCCUGCACUUCGGGAUAAGCCUGGGAAACUGGGUCUAAUACCGGAUAGGACCACUGCCUGCAUGGGUGGUGGUGGAAAGCUUGUGCGGUGUGGGAUGGGCCCGCGGCCUAUCAGCUUGUUGGUGGGGUGAUGGGCUACCAAGGCGACGACGGGUAGCCGGCCUGGGAGGGUGACCGGCCACACUGGGACUGAGAGACGUCCCAGACGCCUACGGGAGGCAGCAGUGGGGAAUAUUGCACAAUGGGCGCAAGCCUGAUGCAGCGACGCCGCGUGAGGGAUGACGGCCUUCGGGUUGUAAACCUCUUUCAGCACCGACGAAGCGCAAGUGACGGUAGGUGCAGAAGAAGGACCGGCCAACUACGUGCCAGCCGCCGCAGUAA